GACGAACGCUGGCGGCGUGCUUAACACAUGCAAGUCGAACGGAAAGGCCCUGCUUUUGUGGGUUGCUCGAGUGGCGAACGGGUGAGUAACACGUGAGUAACCUGCCCUUGACUUUGGGAUAACUUCAGGAAACUGGGGCUAAUACCGGAGAGGAUCUCCUGCUGCAUGGUGGGGGUUGGAAAGUUUCGGCGGUUGGGGAUGGACUCGCGGCUUAUCAGCUUGUUGGUGGGGUAGUGGCUUACCAAGGCUUUGACGGGUAGCCGGCCUGAGAGGGUGACCGGCCACAUUGGGACUGAGAUACGGCCCAGACUCCUACGGGAGGCAGCAGUGGGGAAUAUUGCACAAUGGGCGGAAGCCUGAUGCAGCAACGCCGCGUGCGGGAUGACGGCCUUCGGGUUGUAAACCGCUUUCGCCUGUGACGAAGCGUGAGUGACGGUAAUGGGUAAAGAAGCACCGGCUAACUACGUG
rnacentral:rRNA from 1 species